rnacentral:rRNA from 1 species
GACGAACGCUGGCGGCGCGCCUAACACAUGCAAGUCGAACGAGCGAGAGAGAGCUUGCUUUCUCGAGCGAGUGGCGAACGGGUGAGUAACGCGUGAGGAACCUGCCUCAAAGAGGGGGACAACAGUUGGAAACGACUGCUAAUACCGCAUAAGCCCACGGUGCCGCAUGGCACAGAGGGAAAAGGAGCAAUCCGCUUUGAGAUGGCCUCGCGUCCGAUUAGCUAGUUGGUGAGGUAAUGGCCCACCAAGGCGACGAUCGGUAGCCGGACUGAGAGGUUGAACGGCCACAUUGGGACUGAGACACGGCCCAGACUCCUACGGGAGGCAGCAGUGGGGAAUAUUGCACAAUGGGGGAAACCCUGAUGCAGCGACGCCGCGUGGAGGAAGAAGGUCUUCGGAUUGUAAACUCCUGUUGUUGGGGAAGAUAAUGACGGUACCCAACAAGGAAGUGACGGC